rnacentral:sRNA from 1 species
CACCACCGCCACCUUUGCCAGACCCCACACCCCCGGAGCCAGAGGAGGAGAUCCUGGGAUCAGAUGAUGAGGAGCAAGAGGACCCUGCGGACUACUGCAAAGGUGGAUAUCAUCCAGUGAAAAUUGGAGACCUCUUCAAUGGCCGGUAUCAUGUUAUUAGAAAGCUUGGAUGGGGGCACUUCUCUACUGUCUGGCUGUGCUGGGAUAUGCAGGGGAAAAGAUUUGUUGCAAUGAAAGUUGUAAAAAGUGCCCAGCAUUAUACGGAGACAGCCUUGGAUGAAAUAAAAUUGCUCAAAUGUGUUCGAGAAAGUGAUCCCAGUGACCCAAACAAAGACAUGGUGGUCCAGCUCAUUGACGACUUCAAGAUUUCAGGCAUGAAUGGGAUACAUGUCUGCAUGGUCUUCGAAGUGCUUGGCCACCAUCUCCUCAAGUGGAUCAUCAAAUCCAACUAUCAAGGCCUCCCAGUACGUUGUGUGAAGAGUAUCAUUCGACAGGUGAGACUUUUGACGGCAGCCCCUAGGCCCUAGUAAUUGGUUAGGCUUUCAACAUGAAUGCUGUUUACAAAUAUGUAUAUGUAUUACAUAUGUAUCAGUGCAUAAUGUAUAUAUGUUAUGUAUGUUACAUAUGUAUCAGUGCAUAACAUUUUGAACUCUUAUUAAGUCAGUAUUUAAUGAUAUUUUGUGUUGUGAAGGGAAC